AUUGAACGCUGGCGGCAGGCCUAACACAUGCAAGUCGAACGAGUGGCGGACGCGUGAGUAAUGUCUGGGAAACUGCCCGAUGGAGGGGGAUAACUACUGGAAACGAUGGCUACUACCGCAUACCAUCUGAUUUGCCCCGAUGGGAUUAGGUGUGAGGUGGGGUAACGGCUCACCUAGGCGACGAUCCCUCGCUGGUCUGAGAGGAUUACCGGCCACACGGGACCGGAGACACGGUCCGACCCCCUACGGGAGGCACAAGUGGGGAAUAUGGCACAAGGGGCGCAAGCCUGAUGCGGCCAGGCGGCGUGUAUGAGGAAGGCCUUCGGGUUGUAAAGUACGUUCAGCGAGGAGGCGUUACUCGCAGAAGAAGCAACGGCUAACUCCGUGCCAGCAGCCGCGGUAAUUC
rnacentral:rRNA from 1 species